rnacentral:lncRNA from 1 species
AGAGCAUGAAAUGAAUACGAGGGUAUGGUACAAGAUUGGUCUGGAACUCAGUAACAUCCACAUUAAUGGCCCCAUCAAACCGUAAAGAAGUGGUCAAGGACGAUAUGAUCUGAGAAAUCAACCGGUUCAAAUUGGUAUAGGUGGGCCUCUCGAUAUCUAGAGAUCUCCGACAAAUAUCAUAAAUUGCUUCAUUGUCCAGUAGCACAGCGACAUCUGUGUGUUCAAGAAGGGAAUGAGUUGAGAGAACACUGUUAUAAGGCUCCACAACAGCAGUGGACACCUGCAAUUGAUAUCAAAAACAUGUCUAAGUCACGUAGAACAACUGAGGGCUAAUAUACCUACAGCUAUAUGCAGUUCACAUUGGAAGUUACUUAUCAAAAAGUGUUGAAAUUCAGUCUACAAAAGCAUUAAAAGUUUCAAAAUAUAUUCAUAAAGCUUUGCUGCUUUUUAUAGAGGACAACUGCAACCAUGAAUGGUCACCGAAAAACUAAUAGGUAGAGGAUUGAGGCAACUAUUAGAAUGUUAACUUUAAGCACCUGAGGAGAAGGAUAGAUGGUGAAGCCAAGCUUUGACUUUUUGCCAUAGUCCACAGACAAACGUUCCAAAAGAAGAGAACCUAAUCCAGAACCAGUACCACCACCAACAGCAUUGAACACCAAAAAUCCUUGCAAACCUGUGCAAUUAUCGGCCAACUUCCUCACUCUGUCCAGACAUACAUCAACAAUCUCUUUCCC